AACGAACGUUAGCGGUGUGGAUUAGGCAUGCAAGUCGUGCGCGAAAGCCUUCGGGCGAGUAAAGCGGCGAACGGGUGAGUAACACGUAACCAACCUACCCUUGAGAUCGGAAUAACCACUGGAAACGGUGGGUAAUGCCGAAUGGUCCCAGAGCCUGGCAUCAGGCACUGGGUAAACGGUGGCUUCGGCUGCUGCUCGGGGAGGGGGUUGCGGCCUAUCAGCUUGUUGGUGGGGUAACGGCCUACCAAGGCAAUGACGGGUAGCCGGUUUGAGAGGACGACCGGUCACACUGGGACUGAGACACUGCCCAG
rnacentral:rRNA from 1 species